rnacentral:sRNA from 1 species
UAUCUCUCCGUACGGGGAAGGAUGAGAAGCUUCGACUAAGGUUCGAUUCGAGCGCAGCGAGAAAGCGUUGCCGUAGGCAACGACCCGAAGGGCGAAGCGCGCAG